AUGAAAGUGCUAUUUAAUUAUGCCUCAUCUUCUGUGAUACUCAAUGGAGUGCCAGGAAAGGAAUUUUAUUGUAAGAGAGGGGUCAGGCAAGGUGAUCCCCUCUCCUCUCUACUGUUUGUCCUUGCUGUAGACCUACUUCAAUCCAUCCUAAACAAAGCAAUGAGCAGAAAGUUAGUUAUACCCCCUUUAAAUGUGGGUAGCUGUCCUGAUUUCCCUGUUGUGCAAUAUGCUGAUGAUACCCUGAUCAUUAUGAAGACAAACCCAGUUCAUUUGUUCAAUCUCAAGGCUUUGCUCAAUACUUUUGCUACUGCUACAGGUCUCAAGGUAAAUUAUCACAAAUCAAAUUUGAUUCCUAUCAACUUAUCUGAAGACAGAUCUGACAUCAUGAUUAACACCUUGGGAUGCAAAAGAGGUUAUUUUCCAUUCACAUAUCUUGGAUUGCCACUUGGACUAGUUAAACCCACUGUAGAGCAAUGCCUUCCUCUGGUGCAGAGAAUUGCAAAAAAACUAAUGGGACUGGCAACAUUCAUGACACAAGCUGGGAGACUGUUACUGGUCAAAUCUAUUCUUGCAUCUCUACCAAUCUUUUUCAUGUGUUGCUUGGAUAUACCACAGACCAUCAAAAAACAAAUUGCAAAAUAUCUUAGACACUCUCUCUGGAGAGGAUCAGACAUGGAAGAUCACAUGCCAGCAAUGGUUGCUUGGAGUGUGGUGUCUAGACCUAAAAAUCAAGGAGGCCUGGGAAUUUGCAACUUAAGUGUGCAAAACAAUGCUCUUCUGCUGAAAAACUUGCACAAAUUCUUUAACAGUCACAACAUUCCAUGGGUAAAUUUGAUUUGGGAAAUUUAUUACAGUAAUGGCAUGUUGCCUGGUCAGAACAUGGUUGGAUCUUUUUGGUGGAAGACAAAUUUGAAACUGCUUGACUUAUUCAAAUCCAUGGCCAUAUGCAAUAUUGGUGAUGGGAAGUCUGCUCUAUUCUGGACUGAUCAAUGGCACUCUACAUGUCUAUUUCAAUGCCUGCCUCACUUAUCCUCUUUUACAAAGAAUACUCUAUUAUCAGUUCAGGAAGCUACCAACUUGGAAUAUUUGGAAGACCUGUUUCACCUCCCCCUGUCUACACAAGCUUAUGAGGAAUUCCAGCAACUUGAGAUCAUCUUUGAGGAGGUUAGAUCAUCUGAAUACAGGGAUUGUAAUGACACCUGGAGCUAUUUAUGGGGGUCUGCUAAUUUCUCUUCUUCAAAAGCAUAUACCUGCAUGAUUGGAGUUAAAAUUGUACCACCUCACUUCCAGUGGGUUUGGAACACAUCAUGUCAACGCAAGCACAAAGUUUUUUCUGGAUGGUGCUUAACCUACUCAGAAGAAAAACAUUUCAUUUGGACACAUACAACUGUGUUGUGA
rnacentral:rRNA from 1 species